GGGUGGUGUGGUUUUUCUGACUAUAAAUACUCAGAGGGGAAAGAGGACGGCUGUGUGGUCUCCUAGCUGGGAGCAGGGCACGGCCCUUUCUCGGCCUCUGGGACCUGCUUUUUGCUCCCCAGAACAUUCAUAAACCAUUUUGGUCAGAUUAUGGGAAAAGGCCCUCACAUGAAACGCGUCUGGUGGUCUCUGCCAGAUUCUGGUUGAGACUUCAGUUUUUCUCAGCACCACCCAGGAUUGGAAUCGGUCCCUGUAAAGUUCAGUUCCAAAACCUAAAAACAAAGUCAUUAGGCUCACGAUCGCUCUGAAAGAGUCAAUGAAGGAUAUCAGCAGUUUGGGUGGCCUGUCUCAAUGCCCACUUUGGAAGCCUGAGCAGGACACCUAGAUGGCUUCCAGUGGUCAAAUAUGCCAAGCAGCGAAGAGCUGUGCUUAAUGCCCUGUAAACACAUGUUAUUCUCCAUGCUGGCACGCUGGCUCUCUAGGCCGAAUUAGCAAGGAAGAAGUUUGGAGCAGGCCACAUCAAGCAUUCUCGGCAGUGGCCGUGUCCGAUAGGAUGCUCUAGAGUUGAAGAACAUAUGUUCCUCUGUGCAUGGGAAUCCGAGAUCCACUGCCCACAGGGCAGCAUCAGGGAGAGACACGUGACUAAUAAUAACCGGACUGCAGCAGAUGGGGGCAGUUAAUCAGGUGAAGGAUGGAGGAACACGCUGUGUUACCUGGAAGAGCUGGCAAGGGAGCUGGCCUGGUGGGAAUCUGUGUACCUGGGAAGCGAUCUGACUGGUGGGCGUGGAUAGUAUUAAGAGUAAUGACAUAAGACAGGCCGUCCCUGGGAAAAUAGCUUUUUACUCCAUCCUAAAUUUGGGAUAAACUAGUUCCUAGAGAGAGAAAACAGUGCAUGUGGCAAUAGUUUCUAUCCGAGUGGUCAGAGCCCCUGGAAAAGCACCUCAGAGAGAUGAUUCAGAGAGUCAUCGGAUAUGAAUGUGUUUUUAAUGAUUCCAUGAAAGGAUGUUUUGGCUAAAAUCGAUUUCUAUUGAAUAUUAAAAAGCUGCACUGACAGAAAUAA